AGAUAAUUCCUCUCUUCGGGUUUGAUAUGCAUAUUAAGAGGAUAAAUUGUACAUGUGAUCUUGGGCAAAAUUCAGGGCUGUAGGACAUAAGAAGAGCUUCCAUUUUCUAGCUUUUCAUCCUGUAUUUCUUUCAUAGGUCAUCAAACACAGGCAUGCCAGAAUUCUGGAAAACAAAGUAAAUGGAUAUUUGUUUUUUCUCCCUCAGGUAACAGAACCUACCUGUACAAAUAGCUUUACUGGAUGGUGUGAUGGCUCCAUGAAAUAGUAUCCUGCAGCCAAGACCAUCCUCAAGGAGGUUAAUGAAUGUGGCACCACAAGAAAAAUAUGCAUCAACAUUGAAAAGUAAGAUGAAUUAUUUUACCUGGUAGUAUUUUUUUUGUUAAUUAUACUUUAUUUGUUUACAUUAA
ensembl:lincRNA